UUCCGUCCAAGGCUAAAUACG
rnacentral:snRNA from 1 species